rnacentral:rRNA from 1 species
AUUCCAGCUCCAAUAGCGUAUAUUAAAGUUGUUGCGGUUAAAAAGCUCGUAGUUGGAUUUCUGCUGAGGAUGACUGGUCCGCCCCCUGGGUGAGUAUCUAGGCUAUCCUUGGCAUCUUCCUGAAGAACGUAGCUGCACUUGACUGUGUGGUGCGGUAUUUAGGACAUUUACUUUGAGGAAAUAGGAGUGUUCCAAGCAGGCUCUCGUCGUGCACGGCUCAGCAUGGAAUAAUAGCAUUGGACCUCGAUUCUAAGCUGUUGGUUGCCAGAAGCGAGGUAAUGAUGAAGAGGGAUAGUUGGGGGCAUUCGUAUUUAACUGUCGGAGGUGAAAUUCUUGGAUUUGUUAAAGACGGACUACUGCGAAAGCAUCUGCCAUGGAUGUUUUCAUCG